rnacentral:lncRNA from 1 species
UGUUACCAUUACCAAUAGCAAGACUUUCCUUACCACCAUACUCAUGUACCUCAAUCAGAUUGCCCUUGUCAGCAGUGACAUGAUUGGUGGCACUUGAAUUCACAAACCAAGCUGGAUCCGCAACGAUCCUAGAAGAGGCUAUAAGUGCAAAUGGUUCUGAGGAGUUAUUUUGAUAGUGGUGAUCAGGCUUAGUACCCAUAUACCUCUCGUCAUAACGAUUAAAGCAUCUUGCUGCUAAAUGGUUGUUCAUCCCACAAAUUUGGCACGGCCCUUUACUUGCAAAAUGUCUGCCUUCUCUACCUCUAUUUCUGUCUCCCCUGUAGUUGUUACUUCUACCACCAUAGUUAAACAUUCUUCCUCUAUUAGUAUUCGAACUGUGAACGAAAUUUGCUGAAGCUUCUCGUAAGUUAACUAAAGCCAUACCAUUUUUUGGAGCACUAAGGUGUUCAAUUCUGCUCUUAUAAGUCAUGAGCACAAACUGCAAUUCAUGCGAGGAGAUGGACUCUCUGCUGUUAAUUUGAACUACUAUAGGGGUAUACUCUUCAUCCAAUCCAGCUAGCACUUGAGUAUCAAGAUCACUGUGAGGAAUGAUCUUACUAGCAAUUUCAAGGUUGUCUGCUAGUUGCUUGAUUGUGUUGAGAUAUUGAUCAACACUCGUUGCUCUCUUUCUAGUCCUUUGAAGUUCAUUGAUGAGGAAGAUGACCCUUGAUUUGUUCAUGGCUCCGAAGCUCUCCUAAAUAGCAUUCCAUAGAUUGCAGGAGUUGGACGAUCCCAUUACUUUCAUAGCAAUUUCAGGUGUCAUUGACGAAUACAACUAACCCAUCAAUAGUUGAUCAGUAGACAUCCACUUUCCAUGUUCAGCAUUAGGAGCCAUUUCAACUGUAACUCUAGCAGAACCAGUAGUUUGUGCUGCUAGGAACUCUGCUAGACAGCUUUUGGUUCCUGUGACGAAACCUUCUAGAUUAUGUCCUUUGAUGAUUGGCAUCACCAUGUUCUUCCACAACAGAAAAUUGUUUUUGUCAAGCUUCACUAGUGGAACUUGAGUCAAGCUUAUCCCAAAUGAUGGCAUCAGAUUUCCUCCCAACAUUGGAGGUAUUAGUGUGUUUGAAGUUAGCUGAGCUGAUUCUGCAUUAUAAUCAGAUCUGAUGUUAGCCAUUGAUGGCUCUGAUACCAAGUUGAAAUUCAAUAAAAAAUAGAAUUGAGAACAAAUAGGCAAG